UACAGAGGGGGCAAGCGUUGUUCGGAAUUACUGGGCGCAAAGGGCGCGUAGGCGGCCCGCUAAGUCGAACGUGAAAUCCCCGAGCUCAACUCGGGAACUGCGUCCGAUACUGGUGGGCUUGAAUCCGGGAGAGGGAUGCGGAAUUCCAGGUGUAGCGGUGAAAUGCGUAGAUAUCUGGAGGAAUACCUAUGGCGAAAGCAGGCUUCUGGGCCAUCACUGACGCUGAGCUGCGAAAGCUAGGGGAGCAAACAGG
rnacentral:rRNA from 1 species